GAUGAAGAACGUAGCGAACUGCGAUAAGUAAUGUGAAUUGCAGAAUUCGGUGAAUCAUCGAGUCUUUGAACGCACAUUGCGCCCCCUGGCAUUCCGGGGGGCAUGCCUGUCCGAGCGUCAUUGCUGCCCUUCAAGCCCGGCUUGUGUGUUGGGUCGUCGUCCCCCCCGGGGGACGGGCCCGAAAGGCAGCGGCGGCACCGCGUCCGGUCCUCGAGCGUAUGGGGCUUUGUCACCCGCUCGAUUAGGGCCGGCCGGGCGCCAGCCGGCGUCUCCAACCUUCUAUUUUACCAGGUUGACCUCGGAUCAGGUAGGGAUACCCGCUGAACUUAAGCAUAUCAAUAAGCGGAGGA
rnacentral:misc_RNA from 1 species